rnacentral:rRNA from 1 species
UGAGGAAUAUUGGACAAUGGCCGCAAGGCUGAUCCAGCCAUGCCGCGUGCAGGAUGACGGCCCUAUGGGUUGUAAAGCUCUUUCACCGGUGAAGAUAAUGACGGUAACCGGAGAAGAAGCCCCGGCUAACUUCGUGCCAGCAGCCGCGGUAAUACGAAAGGGGCUAGCGUUGUUCGGAAUUACUGGGCGUAAAGCGCACGUAGGCGGUCGUGUAAGAUGGGGGUGAAAUCCCGGAGCUCAACUCCGGAACUGCCUUCAUGACUGCAUGGCUAGAGGAUGCGAGAGGUUGGCGGAAUUCCGAGUGUAGAGGUGAAAUACUUAGAUAUGUCAUAGAACACCGAUUGCGAAGGCAGCUCACAAAACUGUAACUGACGCUGAGGCACGAAAGUGCGGGGAUCAAACAGGAUUAGAUACCCUAGUAGUCCCUGAGCGGGCUGGCAAGGCGCAU